AUUGAACGCUGGCGGCAUGCCUUACACAUGCAAGUCGAACGGUAACAGGUCUUCGGAUGCUGACGAGUGGCGAACGGGUGAGUAAUACAUCGGAACGUGCCCGAUCGUGGGGGAUAACGGAGCGAAAGCUUUGCUAAUACCGCAUACGAUCUACGGAUGAAAGCAGGGGACCGCAAGGCCUUGCGCGGACGGAGAGGCGGAUGGCAGAUUAGGUAGUUGGUGGGAUAAAAGCUUACCAAGCCGACGAUCUGUAGCUGGUCUGAGAGGACGACCAGCCACACUGGGACUGAGACACGGCCCAGACUCCUACGGGAGGCAGCAGUGGGGAAUUUUGGACAAUGGGCGAAAGCCUGAUCCAGCCAUGCCGCGUGCAGGAUGAAGGCCUUCGGGUUGUAAACUGCUUUUGUACGGAACGAAAAGCCUCUUUCUAAUAAAGAGAGGUCAUGACGGUACCGUAAGAAUAAGCACCGGCUAACUACGUGCCAGCAGCCGCGGUAAAAC
rnacentral:rRNA from 1 species